GGUAUCAGAAGUGCGAAUGCUGACAUGAGUAACGAUAAAGGGGGUGAAAAACCCCCUCGCCAGAAGUCCAAGGUUUCCUACGCAACGUUAAUCGGCGUAGGGUUAGUCGGCCCCUAAGGCGAGGCAGAAAUGCGUAGUCGAUGGGAAACAGGUUAAUAUUCCUGUACUUCAUAUAACUGCGAUGGGAAGACGGAGAAGGUUAGCUCAGCAAGGCGAUGGUUGUCCUUGUUCAAGCGUGUAGAAAUGGUUCUUAGGAAAAUCCGGGAACCUCUAUUUCAAGGCGUGAUAACGAGCCCUCUUUUGGGCGAAGUGAGUGAUACCAUGCUUCCAGGAAAAUCCUCUAAGCUAUAGGUUAUAUGAAACCGUACCCCAAACCGACACAGGUGGACGAGAUGAGAAUUCUAAGGCGCUUGAGAGAACUCGGGUGAAGGAACUAGGCAAAAUGACACCGUAACUUCGGGAGAAGGUGUGCUCUUUGUAGGUGAAAUCACUAGCUGAUGAAGCUGAAAAGAGUUGAAGAAACCAGGUGGCUCCGACUGUUUAUUAAAAACACAGCACUCUGCAAACACGUAAGUGGACGUAUAGGGUGUGACGCCUGCCCGGUGCUUGAAGGUUAAUUGAUGAGGUUAGGAUUUAUCCGAAGCUUUUGAUCGAAGCCCAAGUAAACGGCGGCCGUAACUAUAACGGUCCUAAGGUAGCGAAAUUCCUUGUCGGGUAAGUUCCGACCUGCACGAAUGGCGUAACGAGGGCCACACUGUCUCCACCCGAGACUCAGUGAAAUUGAAAUUGCUGUUAAGAUGCAGUAUACCCGCGGCCAGACGGAAAGACCCCGUGCACCUUUACUACAGCUUUGCAUUGAACUCUGAUCCUACCUGUGUAGGAUAGGUGGGAGACUUUGAAACUUUAACGCUAGUUAGAGUGGAGUCAUCCUUGAAAUACCACCCUGGUAUGGUUGGGGUUCUAACCUUGGUCCGUUAUCCGGAUUGGGGACAAUGCAUGGUGGGUAGUUUGACUGGGGCGGUCUCCUCCCAAAGAGUAACGGAGGAGCGCAAAGGUACCCUCAGCACGGUCGGACAUCGUGCAAUGAGCGCAAAGGUAAAAGGGUGCUUGACUGCGAGACUGACACGUCGAGCAGGUAGGAAACUAGGUCUUAGUGAUCCGGUGGUUCUGAGUGGAAGGACCAUCGCUCAACGGAUAAAAGGUACGCCGGGGAUAACAGGCUGAUACCGCCCAAGAGUUCACAUCGACGGCGGUGUUUGGCACCUCGAUGUCGGCUCAUCACAUCCUGGGGCUGAAGCAGGUCCCAAGGGUAUGGCUGUUCGCCAUUUAAAGUGGUACGCGAGCUGGGUUUAGAACGUCGUGAGACAGUUCGGUCCCUAUCUACCGUGGGCGUUGGAGACUUGAGGGAAGCUGUUCUUAGUACGAGAGGACCGGAAUGGACACACCUCUGGUGUUUCGGUUAUGACGCCAGUCGUAUUGCCGAGUAGCUAUGUGUGGAAAGGAUAACCGCUGAAAGCAUCUAAGCGGGAAGCCCCUCCCAAGAUUAGGUCUCCCUGACAGUUUAACUGUCCUAAAGAUCCCUCGGAGACUACGAGGUUGAUAGGCACGGUGUGGAAGAGUAGUGAUACUUGAAGCUAACGUGUACUAAUUGAUCGUGAGGCUUGACC
rnacentral:rRNA from 1 species